UACGUAGGGUGCGAGCGUUAAUCGGAAUUACUGGGCGUAAAGCGUGCGCAGGCGGUUUUGUAAGCCAGAUGUGAAAUCCCCGGGCUUAACCUGGGAAUGGCAUUUGGGACUGCAAGGCUUGAGUUUGGCAGAGGAGACUGGAAUUCCGCGUGUAGCAGUGAAAUGCGUAGAGAUGCGGAGGAACACCGAUGGCGAAGGCAGCCCCCUGGGCUAGUACUGACGCUCAUGCACAAAAGCGUGGGGAGCAAACAGG
rnacentral:rRNA from 1 species